UACGGAGGGGGCUAGCGUUGUUCGGAAUUACUGGGCGUAAAGCGCACGUAGGCGGCUUUGCAAGUUAGAGGUGAAAGCCCGGGGCUCAACCCCGGAAUUGCCUUUAAAACUGCAUCGCUAGAAUUGUGGAGAGGUAAGUGGAAUUCCGAGUGUAGAGGUGAAAUUCGUAGAUAUUCGGAAGAACACCAGUGGCGAAGGCGGCCCACUGGAUCGGUACUGACGCUGAGGUGCGAAAGCGUGGGGAGCAAACAGG
rnacentral:rRNA from 1 species